rnacentral:lncRNA from 1 species
CGCGUACCGACCCCGGGCGGGCAGGCCGAGGAGGCCGCUGGCGAUCGGGGCUCUUUAUUUUUCUCUUAAACUUGCUUUCCAGGGAAGAGUUUCGCUCGUCUGCUUUUCCCCCCGAAGUUUUUCGUCAAAAGAAGCAGACCCUAUGACCAAGCCCAAAUGUCGUGGCUGGAAGCUGGAUUAUUCGGGAUUUGUGAUUUGCAGCUUCCUGCGGUACACCUAGAAGAAAGUGAGGUUUCCAGGGUUGCGAAUAGUUAAUCAGACUUUACCAUUUCCUGCAUCCCUCAAGAUUA